rnacentral:rRNA from 1 species
GGGUGAGUAACACGUGGGUAAUCUACCCUUUGGUGUGGAAUAACCCUGGGAAACCGGGGCUAAUACCGCAUAAGUCCGAGAGGAGAAAGCAGCAAUGCGCCGAAGGAGGAGCCCGCGGCCGAUUAGCUAGUUGGUAGGGUAAAAGCCUACCAAGGCAAAGAUCGGUAGCCGGCCUGAGAGGGCACACGGCCACACUGGCACUGAAACACGGGCCAGACUCCUACGGGAGGCAGCAGUGGGGAAUCUUGCACAAUGGGGGAAACCCUGAUGCAGCGACGCCGCGUGAGCGAUGAAGCCCUUCGGGGUGUAAAGCUCUUUCGGCAGGGAAGAUGAUGACGGUACCUGCAGAAGCAGCUGCGGCUAACUACGUGCCAGCAGCCGCGGUAAUACGUAGGCAGCAAGCGUUGUUCGGAGUUACUGGGCGCAAAGGGUGUGUAGGCGGUUUGGUAAGUCUGGUGUGAAAUCUCCCGGCUCAACUGGGAGGGUGCGCCGGAAACUGCCGGACUCGAGUGCGGGAGAGGAGAGUGGAAUUCCUGGUGUAGCGGUGAAAUGCGUAGAUAUCAGGAGGAACACCGGUGGUGUAGACGGCUCUCUGGACCGUAACUGACGCUGAAACACGAAAGCGUGGGUAGCAAACAGGAUUAGAUACCCUGGUAGUCCACGCCCUAAACGAUGCAUAUUUGGUGUGGGUCAUUCAGUUGAUCCGUGCCGGAGCUAACGCGUUAAAUAUGCCGCCUGGGGAGUACAGUCGCAAGGCUGAAACUCAAAGGAAUUGACGGGGGCCCGCACAAGCGGUGGAGCAUGUGGUUCAAUUCGACGC